rnacentral:rRNA from 1 species
UACGUAGGGUGCGAGCGUUGUCCGGAAUUAUUGGGCGUAAAGGGCGCGUAGGCGGCUUGGCAAGUGGAAGGUGAAAUCCCUCGGCUCAACUGAGGAACUGCCUUCCAGACUGCUUUGCUUGAGUCCGGGAGAGGUGAGUGGAAUUCCCAGUGUAGCGGUGAAAUGCGUAGAUAUUGGGAGGAACACCAGUGGCGAAGGCGGCUCACUGGACCGGAACUGACGCUGAGGCGCGAAAGCGUGGGGAGCAAACGGG